rnacentral:rRNA from 1 species
ACACAUGCAGUCGAGGGGUAGAGUUCNUUCGGGACUUGAGACCGGCGCACGGGUGCGUAACGCGUAUGCAAUCUACCUUAUACAGGGGAAUAGCCCAGAGAAAUUUGGAUUAAUGCCCCAUAGUGUUAUAGAAUCGCAUGGUUUUAUAACUAAAGUUCCAACGGUAUAAGAUGAGCAUGCGUCCCAUUAGUUAGUUGGUAAGGUAACGGCUUACCAAGACAAUGAUGGGUAGGGGUCCUGAGAGGGAGAUCCCCCACACUGGUACUGAGACACGGACCAGACUCCUACGGGAGGCAGCAGUGAGGAAUAUUGGUCAAUGGGCGCAAGCCUGAACCAGCCAUGCCGCGUGCAGGAAGACGGUCCUAUGGAUUGUAAACUGCUUUUAUACAGGAAGAAACCUCCCUACGUGUAGGGACUUGACGGUACUGUAGGAAUAAGGAUCGGCUAACUCCGUGCCAGCAGCCGCGGUAAUACGGAGGAUCCAAGCGUUAUCCGGAAUCAUUGGGUUUAAAGGGUCCGUAGGCGGCCUUAUAAGUCAGUGGUGAAAUCUCCUAGCUCAACUAGGAAACUGCCAUUGAUACUGUAGGGCUUGAAUUUUUGUGAAGUAACUAGAAUAUGUAGUGUAGCGGUGAAAUGCUUAGAUAUUACAUGGAAUACCAAUUGCGAAGGCAGGUUACUAACAAACGAUUGACGCUGAUGGACGAAAGCGUGGGGAGCGAACAGGAUUAGAUACCCUGGUAGUCCACGCCGUAAACGAUGGAUAC